rnacentral:rRNA from 1 species
UUGAAACUACAUAACUAGAGUGCAGGAGAGGUAAGUGGAAUUCCUAGUGUACCGAUGAAAUGCGUAGAUAUUACGAGGAACACCCCUGGCGAAGGCGGCUUACUGGACUGUAACUGACGUUGAGGCUCGAAAGCGUGGGGAGCAAACAGGAUUAAAUACCCUGGUAGUCCACGCUGUAAACGAUGAAUACUAUGUGUCGGGGGCUUAUAAUCCUUCGGUGCCGCAGCAAACGCAAUAAGUAUUCCACCUGGGGAGUACGUUCGCAAGAAUGAAACUCGAAGGAAUUGACGGGGACCCGCACAAGCGGUGGAGCAUGUGGUUUAAUUCGAAGCAACGCGAACAACCUUACCAAAUCUUGACAUCCUCUUGACUGACUAUGUAAUGUAGUUUUCCUUCGGGACAGGAGUGACAGGUGGUGCAUGGUUGUCGUCAGCUCGUGUCGUGAGAUGUUGGGUUAAGUCCCGCAACGAGCGCAAC